rnacentral:lncRNA from 1 species
UUUUUUUCCUUUUUCUUUUUUCCUUUUUUCUUUUUCCUGUUUUCUUUUUCUUUUUGUUUCCUUUUUCUUUUUCCUGUUUCUUCUUUUAUUUUUCUUUUUUCCUUUUUUCUGUUUCCUGUUUUCUUUUUCUUUUUGUUUCCUUUUUCUUUUUCCUGUUUCUUCUUUUAUUUUUCUUUUUUCCUUUUUCUGUUUCCUGUUUUCUUUUUCUUUUUGUUUUCUUU